GACGGAGGAUGCAAGCGUUAUCCGGAAUGAUUGGGCGUAAAGCGUCCGCAGGUGGCAGUUCAAGUCUGCUGUCAAAGACCGGGGCUUAACUUCGGAAAGGCAGUGGAAACUGAACAGCUAGAGUAUGGUAGGGGCAGAGGGAAUUCCAGGUGUAGCGGUGAAAUGCGUAGAUAUCUGGAGGAACACCGGUGGCGAAGGCGGCAUCCUGGACCGGCAUUGACGCUGAGGAGCGAAAGCCAGGGGAGCAAACGGG
rnacentral:rRNA from 1 species